CCGCCGCCAGCCGCCUGCCCGCCCGCGCCCCGGCCCCCGGCCUCCCGCGGCGGCCUCCCCGCGUUCGGGCCUGAGCGCCGCUGCCGCCGGCCCGCCAGCGCCCCGUCCUCCGGCGCCCUUCCCGCGGCCUCCCCGCGCCCGGGGCUGCAGCGCCGCCGCCGCCGGCCGCCUGCCCGCCCGCGCCCCGGCCCCCGGCCUCCCGCUCGCGCCUCUGCAGUCGGUGUUGCAGCAGCAGCAUGGCCAUGGAAAUACCUUGCCACCGUGGUAGCCGCCGCCACCACUGCCACCUCCACCGCCGCCACCGCCAAUGUUGCCUGAGUUCUUUCCUCCGAGAUCUGCAGCCGAGGGAUCAGGAGUAAAUGUGAGAGACAUCUACCAAACCCCUCCAGCACAGCUAGCAAGUACACCUAGAGAUGAGGAUGAACGGACUACCGAUUUUGGAAGCAACCUAUUCGUUUCCGGAGGUAGCGGGCACAACUCCAACAACCCUCAUAUGCCGUGAGACAUGCCUUCUUUGCUGGACAUCCUAUUGCCGUGACAUAUGUAGCUUGUGUUAUGAUUUGGAGAGCUGCUAUGGAGUUUGUAGUUAAAUUAUGUGAAAUUAUGUGAAUGAUGUGUGAUAAACUUUCUCCUGUUGUCUUGUACUGUUUCUAGACUGUUAUUUGUUGCUGUUACUGCUUAUCUGUUGUUUAUA